rnacentral:misc_RNA from 1 species
CCCAAGGUAUAACAGAACCAGAAGAAGAAACUUAUGAGAAACUUUUCCAAUCCAUCUUUCGAAAUUCAUCAGCUCUGCAUAAUCAUAAUUGAAGUCUUCAUAAGGACUCUUAGAAGGAGGAGUAAUGGUUUCUUGUAUAAUCUUUCCUGUUUCAAUCAAAGUUUGCUGAAAAACAAUCUCAUACAAACACAUAGAGCAAAACAAAGGAACAGAGGCGAAGAAAGAAAAGAUGAUGAAAUUGGGAUUCUUCAAUUGGAUGUUUAGAGAUUCUUUGAUUAAGCCAAAGAACCCUAGUCUCCCUUCCAUCUUCAUUUGAGAGUUUUCA